rnacentral:lncRNA from 1 species
AUGUGUGCUGGAGGUGGCUUUCAGCCACAGCUGUCCCUUACCCCUGGUUGUCACUUCUGUGCUGUUUGUCGUAUGGGAUGUAAAGCAGUUAAUUGGUUCUUCAGCGUUCCAGGUCAUGCUGUGAGCCUCCCCUGCCCUCAGAUGCUCACAAAACUAGCUAACAUUGCUGAGCCAGGCCUGCUUCAGGUCUCCGAAGUGGUGUUUCUGAAAUGGUGUUUCACUCGCUGGAUGUCACAGAGGGCAGCUGGGCCCUCCUGCACGUUCCCACUUCCAACAUCCUUUUCUUGGGGCUGGGACCAUGAGCAAGUGCAAGCUUCCCAGCAUCAUCUGGGAGCUCCCUUCCACAGGAAAUACAAGACUCGAAAUGGAAUAGCUAGUAUUAACAAAAAAGUGGAUCACUGGACUGCUGGUGGGAUAUUUUCUGACAAUCUUUCAUCUGGUAUGCAAACACAGCUAGUGGUUUUCAUUUUACACGCAUCAUCCCCAAGCCUGGAUUCCAACUGCGCUUGCUGGAUGUCGGAACAGCCAUAUCAAAUAAUGCCUAAACUUAGCCUGGGAUCAGCUGUGAAUAUUGCACCAGAUGAAAAAGGCUUAAAAAAGCUGUCACGCAGAAAUAGCCUAGAAAGAUAUCACAGUGCUGCUCCGUGCCCAGGGCUGGGAGAUAAAUGACUUACCCUGCUUUGAAAGAAAAUGAGUACUUCUGAGCAGCAGCACUAAUGAGGCCCAUUCUCAUAAGGACUUGAGACUGAUCUCUCCUUGAUUUUCGGAUGUCUGAUAAGGGGUAAUAUUUCUGUUUCAGCUUUUCUUUUGGAGGGGGGAUAAUGGCCACCUAAUUUUCCUGAAAUAUGUAGAGUUUUAGUGCCUAUAAGAACUGUACACCUGUCAGAUCACCUAGAUCAACUCUUUUCUUUU